CCUUGUACACACCGCCCGUCAAGUCAUGGAAGCUGGUAAUACCCGAAGUCCGCUCAGCCAACCGCAAGGAGGCGGCGGCCGACGGUAAGACCGGUGACUGGGACU
rnacentral:rRNA from 1 species